AGAUAAAGAUAUGGUCAGAACUUUGCUCUUUUAGUUGCCUGAUUUUUUUUUUUUUUUUUUUUUUUUUUUUUUUUUUUUUUUGUGCAGGUUGCAGGUGAGAUUUUACAAAACUCACAUUCACACUAUGUCAGUUUAACCCAGUGCAGCAGCAGUGGAGAAGGCACUGGUUGGUGAGACGUGGUAAGAGCCUCUAGUGGACAGAUGAGCUUACAGGAUGCAGAGUGCAGCACAUCUGGUUUCUCUGCUGAUCCUGGGGUCAGCCUGGACCCUCCACAGGGUUCACAUGCUCCCAGAAAAUCUUCCCCUCACACAGGAGAACUUUGAUCUAGGCCUGUUCAUGGGGCAGUGGUAUGAGGUGGCAGUGGUAUCAACCUGUCCCCACUACAUGCAGCGCAAGAGGAGAAACCCUGUCAUUGUUGCCCUGGAGCUGCAACAUGUUGCUUCUGAGAGCAACUUCACAAUGAUGGCGACCACUUUCAGGAAUGGCUCAUGUAAACAGACGUCCACAGACUACAGUUUGACCAACACUCCAGGACGAUUCUUCCACCAUGUUGCCAGGUUUGGAGCAGAUGUUGAUUCCUAUGUGGUUCAUACCAACUAUGAUGAGUACGCAAUGAUGCUUCUGCUGAGCACAGAGAAACCAUCAGGAAAUAAAACCACCACAGUCAAGCUUUAUAGUCGAACUAUGGAUGUGAGUCCUGUAGUGAUGGACAACUUCAAAGCACGGGUGACACAACAUGGAAUAAGUGAGGGCACUAUCAUCAUGAAUCAGAACAAAAGAGAAAAAUGUUGUCCCCCCCCCACCGCCCCCAUCUUACCGUCUUUCCAGAUCUGUGUGUUCCAGAUGAACCGGUGACAGAAACCACUACUCAGCCUCAGAUUCACGCUCCCAAGAGGUCGAAGAGAAAUGUGGUGCCGCCUGUGGACUCUACUAAUAUUUGACCAAUUGGAGCUGCAGCAGCGGCCGUGACUCACAGCUCGUAGAGGAAACCCUUAGCACCUGAGUGUCUUUAUCUGCAUUAAAAAUGUAAUUCUCCUCUAAAUAACACUGCAUCUCGGUCAUAUUCGAACUCACAGACAUAUAUUUAGAUUUGUUCAUUGUGAAAAAAAGUCCACAAACUUGCUUGGAAAUUUUAACAGAUAAGACGCUCCUCACUUUUGCAGAACUUGCCCCAGAAUCAUCACGGUUUUAGGUUUUCUUCAGUAUCAACGUAAUUCAGUGACCAUUUUCUUUACAUCUAUGAGUUCCCGCAAACAGGAACUGCUAAUACCUAGUUUGGCAUCUUUGUAAUGGUGUCAAAAAUGUAGACAAAUAUGGGGUUAAAUAAAACAGGGGUCAAGUUGUUUAACCCAUGACUGACUCAUUGACUCCAUGGCAACUUUCUACUUGUUUACAUCUCCCAAGGCAUUAUGGGAGCUGUAAUUCCAAAACGUAAAGCGGGGAUCUGGUCGGUAAAUGGACUUUGUUCCACAGAUUAAACUGCAUAAAUACAGAAUUUGACUAGACAACUUCUCAUUUAAAAAAAAAGUCCCAUCCAACAGAAAACAUUUGCAAUGUAAAUGUCACAUGUAUGUGACAUUUACAUAAUACAGUAUAAAAAAACAUGUAGUUGUUACUCAGUUUGUUUCUCAGAGUAAGACAUAUUGAUUUGUUGAUGUUGCCAAACUUCAGUGCAAUGCUUAAGUUGUCAGCUGCCCAGACAAGUCAGAUCACAGAGAGAGAGACAAGCAGAACU